GGGGGGGAGGACAAAUUACGCAAGGUAUGAUGGGAAGACGGAAGCUACGUAAGGCUCUGCCAUAUAAUGUUUCCAAAAUGGCGUCCAAUUACAGACAUAAGAAUAUUGAAUUACUCAUGAAUUAUUCACGGCGACAAAUAGGCCGUUUCAGGAUGCAAACCUAAAGUUUGCGGUGAAUUGGUUUGCUCAAAGUGCAUUGAGAACAACGAGGAAGUUUUUUGACGAUGUUGGACCGAAGAAACGUUUCAAAAUUUAUAUAAAUAAACAUCGCUCCUUGAAAUUCAAUGACAGCAUAUGCACUCUGGGUGAAACGCUGCACGUAGUGAAACAAUUGUCGAAUCUGCGAUUAGAGACGG